GACAACUCCCAUCCCUCAACUACUCCCUGGCCUUGCACUGCUCCUGUCUGCCAUGAACACUGUAAUGAUGGGUAUUUCUGGACAGGAACUUAAAAAUCUGAGGCAGUGCCCUAGACUUGGCUGAUUCAGACAUAAGCUAAAUGGUUUGUAAACAACAAAUAUGUUCCACAUACUUCUUGAAACUUUAAGUUCAAGGACACAGUGUUGCAGAUGUGUCUGGUAAGGGCUUCCUGCCACAGACCUCUUUGCUUCUUACCUGGUGGGAAGGGGUAGGUGCUCUCUGGAACCUCUUCAGAGGUUACUGAUUGUUUCAUGAAGCCAAAGUCCCACUUAACACCAUUACCUUGGAGCCAAGGUUUUAGUGUUACUUAGGGGACAGCUUCAGACACUGGGGAACUGAUACAUGCUGAUGGGUUUUGAGAGUUUCUAAUUGGCUGGCUGUACAUGAACUUCAUAUUUUGUUUGUUGAGACAGUUUCUUUAUGUAGCCUUGGUGGUCCUAAACUCUCUUUUGCAGACCAGGCUGCCCUCAAACUCAAAGACCCACACACUUCUGCCUCUGGACUGCUGGGAUUAUAGGCAUGGGCCACCAAUGCCCACCUAAGCGUCAUACUCUAUAUGAGGCUUCACAUGGCUGUAGCAGGUAAGGUGGGCUCUGAUAGUACCAGGCCUUUUCUCCAAGUCCUAGAAGAAGAAGGGGACAGCAGGCUCCAGAAGUGGGAAAGCGGCAGCUGAGCUCUUACGGUCACGAGAACGUUUAGAACAGCUCGAGGGAGACGAGACCUUACACAGAUGGCAGAAUGAUGCACAAAAGAUGAAAAAGGAGGAAGUAGGGCUGGAGAGAUGGCUCAGCGGUUAAGAGCACUGACUGCUCUUCCAGAGGUCCUGAGUUCAAAUCCCAGCAACCACAUGGUGGCUCACAACCAUCUGUAAUGGGAUCCAAUGCCCUCUUCUGGUGUGUCUGAAGACAGCUACAGUGUAUAAAUCUUUUAAAAAAUGAAAAGGGGCUGGCAAGUUGGCUCAGCCAGUGAAAAGUACCACACUACAGUUUGAACCAUGGAACCCACAGAGGCGAAGGAGAAAAACAGCACCUGAAAGUUGUCCUCUGACUUAAAUAUGUAUGUCCUGGAACUUACUCUGUAGACCAGGCUGGCUUUGAACUCAGUGAUCCUCUUCCCUUUGCUUCCUGGGUGCUGGGAUUAAAGGUGUGUGCUACC
rnacentral:lncRNA from 1 species